rnacentral:misc_RNA from 1 species
ACGUCAUCCCCACAAGGGGGGCCGUAUCUCUACGGCUUUCCGGUAUAUGUCAAACCCAGGUAAGGUUCUUCGCGUUGCAUCGAAUUAAUCCACAUGCUCCGCCGCUUGUGCGGGCCCCCGUCAAUUCCUUUGAGUUUUAGCCUUGCGGCCGUACUCCCCAGGCGGGGCGCUUAAUGCGUUAGCUACGGCACGGAUCCCGUGGAAGGAAACCCACACCUAGCGCCCACCGUUUACGGCGUGGACUAC